rnacentral:piRNA from 1 species
UAUAUAACUAAGAGGACCGGAGA